CUCCAAGAAGCCCAAGAAACAUCCCAAAGUGGCCGUGAAAGCCAAGCCCUCGCCCCGGCUCACCAUCUUUGACGAGGAGGUGGACCCUGAUGAGGGGCUCUUUGGCCCGGGCAGGAAGCUGUCUCCACAGGACCCCUCGGAGGACGUGUCAUCCGUGGACCCCCUGAAGCUAUUUGAUGAUCCUGACCUCGGCGGGGCCAUCCCCCUGGGUGACUCCCUCCUGCUGCCAGCCGCCUGUGAGAGUGGAGGGCCCACACCCAGCCUCAGCCACAGGGACGCCUCCAAGGAACUGUUCAGGUACCACCUGUCCCCAGCGGCGCUUGGCCAGCUCUGAGAGUGUUCUGGACAGAGCCAAGGGCCCGGCUCAUUGCCCAGUCUCAGCCCCAGCCUCCUCUGAGGGGAGGACCCCAGGCCUGUGAAAAGUAGAAGCCUGUGGGUGCACAUUGGGUGAGAGGCGGUGAAGGGGGCUGAGGGGGAGGAUCCGCAGCCCAGGGCUGCUCAGCUAGUUCCAGAAAGAGAGAACUUUGUGUGCACAACCAGUCUUUCUUUUCACAAUCAUAUUUUAACAGUUUAUGUAAAGAAUAAUUAAAUUAUAUAAUUGCAAGAGCAGGUAUAACUGGCAUAAGCAAGUUUGGGAACAAAUUAAACGGACUCAUGGCAGCAUGCAGCCCACCCAGCGAGGGGGCAAAGUGCAGAUGUCUUGGUGAUGGCCUCUCUGCCGGAGGGCCCGGUCGGCAGCUUUCACAGAAGGAAGGGAGAAUGAGGCCUCAGCUGUCACAUGGAGGUCAAUUGGCAGAACCUGUGCCGGUGACAGCUCCUAUUUCCUGAGUCCUUGCUGUGUACGCAGUAAGCCAGACUCCUUACACGCUCUCUUAUGUAAUCUUCACGACAGCCCCCUAAGGUGGAUGCUAUUUUCUCCAUAUUAUAAGAAAUCAAGUGUGGGACGCCACCUGGCUAAGACCCCUGCUCUGCCCCUGGCCUGGCCUCUCCACUUCAUCAGGGACUGUCUGAGCACUUGGCUGGGUGAUCUGCCUCCCCACCCAGCCCCCCAGUUCUCCCCAGGCCUUUACCUCCACUGGCCACAUUCUCAGCAGACUCAGUGUUGUGCGUGUCUCCAGCUCCCACUCCAUGCUCCAGGACACAGGACUGUGCCUGGGAUUCAGAGGAAGCCAGGCCGCCUCUUUCCAGGAACGGCUUAUGUGACACCAAGGCAUGCAGGCCCUGGAGGCUGUCAUCUGUACCCCUCAUUAGCAGCCUCGGGCUAUUAGACAGCCCUGCAAGUGCCCGCCAAGCCUGAGUCACCGUGACGGCUUCUGGUAUUUACAUGUCCCCAAGGCCCCUGGCAUCUGUUCACUCUCAUCCUGUGUCCUCGCUCCUGACAUCCCAGCGGGCUGGAAGAAACCAGGAUUGUUAUUUUAUUAGAGGGAAACCGAGGCACAGGGAAAUGAAAUACUAGAGUCUGCCUGCGGAGCAGCAGGGCCAGGCCGAGCAUGUCUAGGAGUCCAUGUGUCCCAGUGGGGUGGCUCUCGUGGGACCUUUCUGGCCUAGUUUAUUCUAAAUCCGUUACUUCCCAACCUGUGUUCUGCAGAACGUGGUACAGUGGGGUGGUCAAAGGCUAUCUUCAAAGGGGCUCUGUGGCUGAUGAAUUGGGGAAAUGCCACAAAAAGCAGGGCUCGUAGUGCGCGGGCCAGCACCACAUGGCACUUCACGUUCUCAUUCAUCCCUGGGCCCCCCACUCUGUGGUGCCCCUUAGCAUCCCGCAGAGCGCUUGGGGAGUCCCUGCUCAAAAAGUGUGGGUCCCGCACCCCCACCUUCACUUUAGCAGACAUCUGCUAAUGAAAGGAUUAACUGCUUUUCUUUUUUUUAAAUUCAGACAAAUUCAAAAAGAGCCGUAACACUGGGAUUAGCUUCUUGAGAGCAGGAACCACAUUCAUUCUUUGUGUCUGCCCUGUGACUAUCCAGGGAGUAGUUGGACUUCCUCAUAAUAAAGAAUGUUCUGAUAGCC
rnacentral:lncRNA from 10 species